AUUGAACGCUGGCGGCAGGCCUAACACAUGCAAGUCGAGCGAGCGGCGGACGGGUGAGUAAUGUCUGGGAAUCUGCCUGAUAGAGGGGGAUAACUACUGGAAACGGUAGCUAAUACCGCAUACCAUCGGAUGUACCCAGAUGGGAUUAGCUAGUAGGUGGGGUAAAGGCUCACCUAGGCGACGAUCCCUAGCUGGUCUGAGAGGAUGAUCAGCCACACUGGGACUGAGACACGGCCCAGACUCCUACGGGAGGCAGCAGUGGGGAAUAUUGCACAAUGGGCGCAAGCCUGAUGCAGCCAUGCCGCGUGUAUGAAGAAGGCCUUCGGGUUGUAAAGUACUUUCAGCGGGGAGGCGUUACCCGCAGAAGAAGCACCGGCUAACUCCGUGCCAGCAGCCGCGGUAAUAC
rnacentral:rRNA from 1 species